GAAAGCAAUCCUCCAGGAAAUGUUCUUCAUUUCGGGACAUCACUUGAGAACUUGCCCUCUGCUGAAGGUGCUGCCUCACCAUGAGGUUAUACUCCUACCUCAGGGAUCACAAGGUGGCUCCCUGAACAGCUCCUUGCUGCCAUUUUGUGAUGACACCAUCUUUAACACCUGGCUUCUGAAGUCUCAUGGAGAGGUCUCUAUCCAGGGAGUACAUUGGAUACUUUCGCGGUCUCUGUGGACGGGGAGACAGCACACUGGAGACUAACACCAUGUUGGCCUGGACAUGAUGCAUGACCCUUACGCCCAUGUUCCAUUGGUGAGACCCAGUCGUGUGGAUCGCACUAGCUGCAUGGGCUGGGUUGUGGGUGUGGGUGGUGAAAAUUGUAGACUGGGCAUCUGCUCCCCAGAAGCAACUCAACAUGGUGUUGGGGGAGCAUGAAUCUUUGGUGGUCAGUAGUUUUUUCUACCACACCAUCCUAUGCAAAGCUGUGAAGUAACUGAAGUUUGUCUUGACUUCUCUAUCCAACCCAUCUCCCCGCAGCCUUCCAAUUCCCAGGCUCCUGACCUCUUUUUUUUUUUGAAGACGUGCUCUCAGAGAGCUGUUAAAUAACUAACCAAGGAAUUAGCUGGUAACCAGACAAGCAACGUAAUACCUAGCCCUUCCUAGGCAUUUGGUUUCUCUCCCUUCCCAAUAGAAGCCCUUCCAAAGCUCCAUGCCUUCACUAAUGCAGUGACCUCUGUCUGGAGCACUGUUCUUUUCUGGCUGUGAAAGGGCGAUUCUUCUUACCCUUUAAGAUCCAGCUCACAUUAUUAUUAUUACGAUUAUUAUUUUGAGACAGAGUCUUGCUCUGUUGCCCAGGCUGGGGUGCAGUAGUGUGAUCAUAGCUCACUGUAGCCUCAAAUUCCUGGACUCAAGCGAUCUUCCCGCCUCAACCUCCCAAGUAGCUGGGACCACACAGGUGCAUGCCACCACACCCAGCUAAUGUUUUAGUUUUUGUAGAGAUGGGGUCUCACUAUGUUGCUCAGGCUGGUCUCAAACUCCUGACCUCAAAGUAUCCUCCUGCCUUGGCCUCCCAAAGUGCUGGGAUUACUGGGAUUACCAUGCCCAGCCCCAGCUCAGAUUAUUAAAAAGUUAAAAACAAAACAAAACAAAACAAAAUAAAAAAAACCCUAAACAGGUGUUGGAGAGGAUGUGGAGAAAAGGGAAACUUUAUACACUGUUGGUGGGAAUGUAAAUUAGUACAACCUGGAUGAAAAACAUUACGGAGAUUUCUUAAAGAACUAAAGAUAGAACCACCGUUCAACUCAGCAAUCCUACUACUGGGUUUCUAUCUAAAGGAAAAGAAAUCAGUAUAUCAAAAAGAUACCUGCAUGCGUAUGUUUAUCGCAGCAAUAUUCAUGAUAGCAAAUCAUGAUAGCAAAUCAGCCUGUGGAAUCAACCUGAGUGUCCAUCGAUGGAUGACUAGAUAAAGGAAAUGUGGCAUAUAUACACAAUGGAAUAGUAUUCAGCUAUAAAAAAGAAUGAAUUCAGGUCUUUUGCAGCAAAAUGGGUGGGAUUGGAGAACACUACAUAAAACAACUCAGACACAGAAAGACAAAUACCUCAUGUUUUCACUUAUAUGUGGGAGUUAAACAAUGGGUCCAUAUGGAAGCAGGGUGGGGAGUGAUGGAACAGUGAGGUCGGGGAGUGAGAAGGGUGGAAUAAUAAUAAUAAUAAAGACUGGAUCAGAAUUCAACCCCUCAGUAUUAAUGACCCUUUGUACACCUUUGAGUUAUAGCAUUUAUCACACUGUUGUAUAAACAACUGUUGACUGGAAGCCUGUUUUUCCAGGGGCAAACAUAGUGCUUAAUUCACAAGGAGGUAAAUGCCCACAAGAGCAGUUCCAUGGGGUCGGGGAUUCUUUUUUCACUCUUCUAUCCCUGGGGCCUAGGACAGUGCUUGGACUUGCUCAUUAUUCGUUAAGUGAACAAUCUGUUUCUGCCCCAGCACAGUGCCUGGCAUGCAGUAGGCACUCAGUUAUUGAAGGACAGCAUUUGCAAGGUCAGAAGUGUUUGCUAAUCCUUGCUAGCAGUGGAGUUUCAGAUACUUUACUUGAAGGAUCGUUUUUUUCUUUAAAGAUAAUUUUGAUUCUGGAAAGUCCCUCUAGGUCUUGCUCAAAUUAUUCUACCUGGAUGCACACGUAUGUGACACACACACACACUCUCCUUUAUUCUCCAGCCCUCCUAAAUCCUUUUGAAGACAGAGGCCCAAGGAAAUGAGUUCUUGUAAAACCAUUUCCUUAUUUCUCAGCCCGGUGAAGAUAAACCCUGUUGGGUUGAGCUGCCAGAUUCUGUGCCCCAUCACUCCCACCCUGGCCCGGGGCCCCCACCCCCAGGGCUGGCUCAUCCUCAGGCCAAGCUGUUCCCACAAAGACACCGAGCCUGAGACUUAAAUUGGAUUUGCCUGUGGCUUUGCGCUCUUCAUGUCCUCCCGCCUUCGUUUUUGAUUUAUCGUUUUAAUCAGUCCUAGUCAAUCAUUCCCUCUCUGUCUUGCUCACCAUAAACACAACCC
rnacentral:lncRNA from 1 species